AGCCUAAUCACACGCACCCAAGCGACCCACAGCAUCAGCAACCUGAGGUUUGUGCGGUUAUUUCUAGUGCCUGCGAGGUAAUAUUACGACCUUGACUUAUCUCAAGCGCGAGAAGCCAUAACCAUCACCGAUUGGAGCGUAUUUGUUGACUGCGACGAGCAACAUCGACGGGGGUGAGGGGCCGAUGACCGUCACCGCCAGCCACUCGUUCGCUCCUCCUCCUCCUCCUCCAAGCGGCGAUCGAGUUUGAUGAUUCCAGGUGCGGGCAUCAGGAUCUCUGCUAUUGGAUCCAGGUUCGGGAGAUUAAAGUAUUAAACUCAGUCUCUAACCUCCCGAACGGGACUCAGACUCUGUUAUUGAAUCCUGUUGGAUCUUGUUCGGGGAUGAGACUGACGUUCGAAUUUGAUCCUGGCCGACGGGAUUGAGACGCACGUUCUCUAACCACCAGCAGGGUCCGCUCGUUCGAUCCUGUCGUCGGCCAUACUCCAAGCGGCCUGGGCAUCGAGCUCGGCUUCGACACCCGCACCAUCCAGAACCAGAUACAUUAUUGCGAAGACAUCAGCACCACACACACCCCCAUCAAAUCCGUCCAAGCUCAUCCUGUCUCCUCUCAGAUCUCGGUGGCUGCUCCAUUCUCGGUGCCUGAUUAAGCACAAGAUAAUGAAGUACAUCUCUAACUUAAAUGUCAGAGUUUGGCUAGUUACUGUUUCUGAAAUUUAUGUUUAUAUGGAGCACGAAUCUUAUGCUUCCAUGUAAGCUAAGGUGUUGAUACAAUCUAUCAUGGAGGUUUGGUAGUAUAUAUAUGGUUAAACCACCGCAUAUUUGUUACUGAAUUCUGCAAUACUGCAUUUUUUUAUCACAUACUAUAUGUGAUAGGAAAAAAUUGCAAUAUUGAUAUAUACUAUAUGUGGGGAUGGAAAAUUUUGCAUGUUUAUUCUCCUUCUAGAGCGUGACCACGACGGUGUGUCCAUGGCGCUCUAGGCAUGACCAACCACAGACUAGCGUGCAACUCCUCACCGUCCGUCUCAUCACCGCAAUGAGCAGCCCUUGUUUAGUCGGUACUGCUAAAUGCAAAUAACGGGACACAAGAGUGUUAUCUGGAGGCAGACAAUGCAUGUGUUGUGUUUGUUGAUCUUUCUUUAGUUUGCUGAAAUUUUUAAUAGCAACUGUGUAACCAAGAUGUAGGGCGUGGUGAGGAUGUGUACUCUACUACUAUGUGAUUUGCUCAAAAUUAUCUCAAUGGAAUCUUCGACAAUGUGAUCCAUUUUGAAGUUCA